UCAUCCUCCAUGCAUCUCUUCCAGUGGGCCUAAAGAGAUCUAAGCUCAAUUCCCCAACUGGACUAGGACAUGUCUAUUAUCUUGCAAAUCCUGACCUGAUCCCAAACCAGGGCCCUCUUUUCCCCUCAGCCUCCCAGGCCCAUAUCUACACCAUAAACAGCCCAGCUAAGUCUGCAACCAAUCUCUGGAUGCUCUUUGCACUCUUGCAGCUUUGCUUAUGCUUUAGCAAACCCCUGCCCUGGUCCUGCAUGCCUGACUGCACCCCACCACCCUCAAGCUGCUAGCUUUAGGGUAGCAGAGAAAUUUUCCUUGCCAGGUCAGAACAAGUAAGGGGUUAAGCCCAGGACAAGCAGACUGAUGUCCCCCCCAGCUGACUCCCACUGCCAGAAGCACCCCUGGACUCUGGAACAUACCUCUGCUCUGUGUGCCAAAGCAGUGGGCAGCUGCCUGAGCCUCCCUCCUUGCAGGAAUGGGGAGUAACUAUGGUAACUGUCUCCGGCUGCAUCCCAGCUCCUUGUUUGCCUCUCCUCAAUAGUGCUUGUGUUUAUCUUCGAUGCUCCAUUCACAGCUUACUCCUUCUUUCUCAUGACAAAGGCAGAAAGCACCGUCUUGCAACAGCUCCCAGCCUCCUUUCCCACAGACAAGCAAAUCUCCACAGCACGUCUAACACCAGCUGAAAACAUCUGGAGUGGUUCUGAUAGGAGGAGAGCCAGCUGCCUUUUCAUAUUUCUCCAGGACUGGGAGAUAUAUAUCAGAUGUGAGUGUCUCUCCUCACCAAUAAUAUCUGAAUAAAUAACUGGUGGUGGCUUAGACCUGGCUAAAGC